UUGGUCAAAAAUCACAAUAGUGUGUUCAAAUUUGAAUCAUUUUAAUUUUAAAAGGUUUUAAUUGUAUUUUUACAAAUUAUUAACCUAAGAUGGGUAAGAAAAAGAAUAAGAACAAAGUUAGUGGAGCUGUUAAAACUGCCGCAAAAACAGAAAAAAAAUUAGCGAAUAAACUCAAAAAAGAACUUGCGAAUAUGGGAGAGGAAGACAUAGCAAAAGUGAUUGCAGAAAUCGAAAGGGAGGAAGCUAAAAGAACAGCAGCAACAGAGAAAGCCCUCUCUGGCCCACCAUCAGCCAGAGCUUACGCAUCUCUCACUCCCCAUCCAAUAAAUAAUGAACUUAUUCUGUUUGGUGGUGAAUAUCAUAAUGGCCAGCAGACGGAGGUGUACAAUGACCUGUUGUUCUACAACCCAGUUAACAAUACUUGGCGGCAAGUGAAGGCGCCGGGAGGGCCGCCGCCACGCAGCGCACAUCAAGCUAUUGCUACACCCGCCAAUAGAGGUGAACUGUGGGUGUUUGGUGGAGAGUUUACAAGUCCAACAGAAACACAAUUCUAUCACUACAAAGAUCUGUGGUGUUUUUCACUUGCUGACAAGAAAUGGGAGAAGGUAGUAGCACCAAACGGUCCGUCCCCCCGCUCCGGGCACCGAAUGGUCCAGCUCGGGCGGAAGCUGUUCAUCUUCGGCGGCUACUCAGAUGACGGUCGAGAAUGUCGAUACUUCGACGAUCUGUACACUUUCUGUUUGGAUACAAGGCAGUGGGAGAAACUCGUGCCAAGUGGUAGGGGGCCGUGUGCUAGGUCUGCCUGUGUUAUGUUACCGGCUGGGAGUGAUUCGCUAAUAAUCUACGGCGGUUUCUCUCGCGUGCGCGAAGGUCGCACGGAACGCACACACACGCACACAGACAUGUACAAGCUCGCACACAAGGGCACGUGGACGUGGAGGUCACUGACCGGCGGGAACUGCGCGCGCGCGGGACUCGCUGCUACCGUCAAUGUGCACAGCAAUAGGGGUUACGUGUUUGGUGGGGUGCGGGAUGUGGAGGAAACAGAAGAAGACCUUCGCGGUGAGAUGAGCGACGAGUGGCAAGUACUAGACCUCGAUACGUGUCGCUGGCAUGAGCUCACACUACGCACUGACGCACAAGUUAACACGCAAGCUAGCACGCAAGCUGACAUGCAAGUGGACGAAGGUGAUAAGGAGAGUGUUACUGUGGUAACAGACGAAGUGUUCACCAUGAAGCUGGGCGGGGCCAAGCCGCCCACGGCCACGCCCACACCGGCCCGUACUAGUGACACUAAGCGCGCAGUGAGCGGGCGCAUGUCGGCGAUGCUGGCCGUGCAGCGCUCCGUGCUGUACGUGUACGGCGGCCUGCUCGAGCGGGACGACAAGCAGUUCUACCUGGCCGACAUGUACAGCCUGGACCUACACAAAUUAAAUGAAUGGAAAACAAUCAUCGCACAACCGAAAUUACCCGACUGGCUUGGUUCAGAUUCGGAGGCAUCGGACUCGGAGAGCGAGACAGAAGAUAGCGAUGAUUCUGGCGAUGAAUAAGGAUAGAUGUCGUCCCCUUACUGGUAAAAGUGAUUAUCUGCACAAAACAUAAACUGGAGUUAUAAGCAUUUGAAAGUAUGACAACAUUUUAAGUUGUGUAGACAUCAGUAAUCUAGGUUAUUAGUGGUUUGUUAUGAAAGGCCCAUUAUUCAGAAGCAAUUGUGGAGAAUCAUGCAAGAAAGUCUGUUUGCAUGCAAGCCGAAGAUAACUUUGUAAUUACGCACCGUAGAAGAUAAGGGGUUUUACCUGAAGAUAGAUCUUGACGAGACGAAUCGAUUGGUGUAUAUAACUGAAUUUUGUAAAAAUGUGCAGUUAGUCAGUUUUACCAGUAAGGGGUCGAUAUAUGUGGUGAUGUAAAACAUCCUAAUUAU